ACGUGAUGAAUUCUAUAUAUUAGAGUGAAUUGAUGAUGAGUUUCUGCAGUUGUGAUAUCAUCUUAGGAAUUAGUAAGAAUCUCAGGAACAUUUGUUGAAAUGGCUGAGGCUGCUGAUUUGAUACAACGAAGGCAGCGUUCUGACUUUCAAUCAAGUAUCAAGGAUACCUUAUACAAGGCUAUCAAGAAAAAUCCAGAUGUUAUCCCAUCCUUACUCACUUUGGCAUUGAAUGAUGACUUAUGAUAAGG